ACGUUUAGUUGCUAACAGGUCGAAGCUGAGCACUCUAGACGAACUGCCGUUGACAAAACGGAGGAAGUGGGGAUGACGUCAAAUCAUCAUGCCCCUUAUGUUCUGGGCUACACACGUGCUACAAUGCCGGUACAGACGGAGGCGAAGCCGCGAGGCGGAGCAAAUCCGAAAAAGCCGGUCUCAGUUCGGAUUGCAGGCUGCAAUUCGCCUGCAUGAAGUCGGAAUCGCUAAUAAUCGCAGGUCAGCAUACUGCGGUGAAUACGUUCCCGGGCCUU
rnacentral:rRNA from 1 species